GCUUAUAUUACUCUUUGAUGGAAACUAACAAGAAGUAAAUAAAGGUAGCAACCUUUGGUAGCAACUGAAACUGAAAUAAAAAUAAUAAAUUGAUAAGCUUUGUUUACAUGACUUAGGCAUUUUAAUAGAGUUUUACAAUCUGGAAUAAUUUUUGUUGUAUUUCCAAGUAUAUUGCUAUCAAAAAGUCUAGUAUCAAAUAUACAAUAAAUUAAAAUUGUUACAAGUGAAAGAACGUGGAUAAAUAAAUACAUUUAAAAAGUUUAUCUAUUUCGGAAUUAUGAAGUAUUAAAUAUACAUUAAAUAUGAAAUAAUAAUUAAUUAACAUCUCAAUACUAUGAUUUUAGUUCGAAACUAGUUAUUACUUUGUAUGAAGAAACUCUUGACAAAAAUUUAAAGCUGAAGGAACAUAGGAUCUUUCUACUGACUAAAUCAGACAUUAAUUUACUGAUUGAUGCUGACAGUACAAACGUUUCGAGAGACGAGUACGAAAUUAAAUGAGAACUAAAUUAAUUAUUGAAUCAAUGUGUGUAGAUCACAAUUAUUUAUUGAGAUAUUCAAUGGAUUUGUAAAGAAAUGUAAUUCUUUAAUUAAUAAAUAAUGAAAUAAAAA